rnacentral:sRNA from 1 species
CUACACACAUAUAAAGGAACAUUAGUAGAACUUUCUU